GAUGAAGAACGCAGCGAAAUGCGAUAAGUAAUGUGAAUUGCAGAAUUCAGUGAAUCAUCGAAUCUUUGAACGCACAUUGCGCCCGCCAGUAUUCUGGCGGGCAUGCCUGUCCGAGCGUCAUUUCAACCAUCAAGCCCCGGGCUUGUGUUGGGGACCUGCGUCCGACGCAGGCCCUGAAAACCAGUGGCGGGCUCGCUGUCCACACCGAGCGUAGUAACUAACCUCGCUAUGGAGUGGCGCGGGCGCCUGCCGUAAAACCCCCAAUUUCACAAGGUUGACCUCGGAUCAGGUAGGAAUACCCGCUGAACUUAAGCAUAUCAAUAGCGGAGA
rnacentral:misc_RNA from 1 species